rnacentral:lncRNA from 1 species
AUGGUGUCACCAGGACCUGCACCCAGCAGGGAGACGUGGCGCGUGGUCAGGCUGCCCCCACCUGGCCAGUCCUCAGGGGUGGGUGCCGGAUGGAGGGACCCAGAGCCCUCCCCAGGCUCCCUGUGUGAGUCGGGCCUCCAGGUGGAGGGCACUGUCCUCGGCAUGGUCUGUCCCAGGUGGGAGGGGUGGCUUUCCGGGUGGAGAGAGGCGGAACCUAAGCAUUCCAAACAGCUAACUGGUGCCGAGAGCGAUGUAAAGAGUAACCGUGUACCUCACUGCCGACUCAGAACUGCUCCCGGAAGUCAGAAGCCGGCUGUGGAGCGCGUUGCGGGCCGCGUGGCUGGCUGGUCUCCCACGUGGGUGCCCUGCUCCCUCUCGAGUGCCCUGAUCCACGCGCCACCUGCGCCACGCGUCACGCUGCCCGGGUGUCUGCCCUGCCGCCACACUUCCCGCCCCACUCAGUCUCGUGGGCCCGUGAGCCGCGUGUGUCCUGGACGUCCCCGGCCCUCCUGGAGCACUCGCCCCGGAUUGCGCCUCACUUCAGUUUCCUGUGUCUGAGCCCUUCUAUCCGGGCCGCUAAGGACGGAGAGUUGGGACUGCCGGAGAGUCCCGCCUGGGCCCGGGUCUUCAGGCCGAGUCUGAGGGGCUCGGUCGCCCUCUUCCUGCCCCAGGGCAUCCUGGGAAACGACUCCGAAUGUGGCUGUCAAAUGAAGCUCUUUUGUAAUUGGCCAUUCCGGCAGUUUUCUUCCAUGUGGGGUUUUUGUGGGGUUUUAAGAGAGUCUGCGAAAUGUCAGAGCGUGGCUCUGGGAAUGCUGCACAGCACUUGCUCUUGCUCUCUUUGUUUUGAAACCUUUGCCAUCAUGGCUGGCAUUUGCAGCGCUGGGACUGUGCCUUCUGCCCUGCAAGAGCUUUACAGCUCCAUCCCUAGCACACAGGCUCCCUCUGGCACCACGCACAGGGCAGUUACCCUCCGCUGGGAGACCUUUCCGUGUCCUUUGUGGAACGUUAGUGUGGACCAGCAGGAGAGCAGGGCGAGCCAUGCAGACCUGUGGCCACCUCAGGCUGGGUCCCCUCCCUGUGCUUUCCUUGCCAUUGCCACUUCUGUUCUCCCAGCCCAGACCCUGCGUGGGCGGGCGCCAGCCUUCCCAGCACACCGUGAUGAUGGGUCAUAGAGAAGAACUCUGUCUCUGGGGUGCCUUCUGCCUGCUUUUGAAUUAAACUUUUUAUUUUGAGACUGUGUAGAUUCUUGUGUGUUUUAGUCACUUUCCUUGUUGCUGGGACACAAUACCCAACACACAAUUUGGAGAAGCAGAGCUUUAUUCUGGUUCACAUUUCAGUCCAUGGUGUGCUGGCUCCCAGGCAGGCAGCAUGGUGGAAGGGCCGGUCAGAGGAGAGCUGCUCACAGGAUGGAGGACAGAAAGCAGAGAGAGAAGGGGGAGCCAGGGAGGGAGGUGAAUGCUUCUAGGCCACAUCCCAGAGACUGCAUCUUCUGACCAGGCCCUGCUUCCCAGCGUCAAGCCAGCCGUAGCCUCCAUAAUUCAUUCACCAUCCAGAAGCCACACCUAUGAGUGCAUGAGUUUGGGGGGGACAUCUAGAUGUAAACCAUGCUCGUAUGCAUGAGACUCCGCUUCUCCAGAUGAGCCCCCCGCAGUACAGUGGCCGUUGGUGGUGGUGGAGUGUUUAGUUCUGAGGAAACUGCCAUUCCCCUUUCACCGUGACAGUGUGGUUUCCUUUCCCACUCAGGCGUGAAGGACAUGUCUCCACCUCCUCGCAGCACCUGGGCUGUGCCUGGCCAUUCUUACCCGUGCACCAUGGUGUCUCCUGCACAGCCAGUGACUGCUAAUUUUCCAGCUUCUGUCCUUUAGGGUGCAAUGACUUCCUGGCAUUUGCUCAGUUUCCAAAUAGAUUAUUUGUUUUCCUGUUCCUUUUUGAGAAUUUCUUAUGCAUUCUAUAUGUUGAAUAUGUAGUUUUCAUGUAGUUUCUCCCAGUAUGUAUCUAUUUUCUUAGAGUAUAGGUUCUCAAAGUAGUUACCAAUGAUCUUCUGGAUUUUGGCAAAACCCAUUAUGAUUUCACCUUUUUCAUUUCUAAUUGAAUGGAUUUGGGUCUUUUCUUUCCUUAUUUUUG